GGAGGGGAACACUUUUAUUUUCUUUUCUUGAUAUAUAUAUUCCAUCACACAAGGCCAAAGAGGUCUUCUUCCAUUAGAUAGAGAGAGAGAUACGGAGGGGAGAGUGAAGAAGGAUAUACAGAGAAUCGACCCACCUUCCAUGGUCACUCUAAACACACGAAAAACACACACAAAAAAAUAAAGAGGGAGAGAGUCACGAAGAGAGAGUUAUAGAGGGAGAUCGAGAAAACAAAGAGUGAUUGUAAUAGGGGAUUGGUGCGAGAUCUGGUCCAUCGCCAAGCUUUUUCGGAGGAAAACUUUCACUGAAAUCAACUCUGGUUCUUCAUUUAGGUAACCAGCUCACGAGAAACCCAACUUUCUUCAUUAUUCUUUGGAUUUUUAAGAAAAAUCUGUCCAAAAACGUUAAGUUUGAUAAAAAAAAACAUUGACCAGCAGUGAAUUCCUCACUGAAAUUGGUCCAGUUCGAAUCAGUUUUUGCUUUUAGCUUUGGUACGGGUAGGGUUUAUUUUGCUAUUUUUCCACUCGAUUCUUUGGUCUUUCAACUGUUCUGGGAUUCUUAAUUCUGUCCGUCUCCAUCGAUUCAUCAGGGUCAGUAGCAGUUUUCUAUUUUUGCAAUACCAAGUUUAGAGUUGGUUCGCCGUUGAGGUGCUAUUCAGGCAUUCGGAUUUGAUUUUCUUAAACACUGUUACCAGCAUAAUAUUUGAAGGUCCAUUUCUAAACCUUAUUCUUGAUUUCCUUGUGUAUGACAUUUGAUACAUGGUGUUGUGGUAGUAUGUUGUUUGUUUGAUUAGACACUUCUAUUGAUUGAUUGGUAUUGUGUUACUUGAAUCAACAGUUGAAGCAUAAAGUAAUUUGGUUAAUGGAUUGAGGGAUCACAAUUUGAUAAAAGAUGAAUAAUUUAGUUGCUUCCAUUCAUUGUUAUCAUUAUGUGGCAUUUAAUUGUCAACUCCUCGCUAGUAUCAUGAUAAGACCGUCAAAUAGGUAAGCAAACGAUAGGUCGGGGUAGGCAAACUUAAAGAUUGUGAAAUGUUGAAUGUUUGAAGUUUUGUUGAAUGAUGUUGAUAUUCUAGCAUUGAAAAAAUGUACUCAUUUAGCCGGGGAAUGCCCCGAGACAUAUUGUAUUUAUUCACCGGGGAAUGCCCCGAUGUACUUUGUUGGUGGAAGACGUUCGUGAGAAAGGCCCGAGGCGUCGGGUAAAGUACGGGAGCAUAGUUAAGGUUAGUGUAGGAUAGAUAGGAUUUAUUUUCGUAUUUUUUUAAUUAUUUGGAUAGUAUAAAUUGGACUGGAC
rnacentral:lncRNA from 1 species